rnacentral:rRNA from 1 species
AGGAUGAACGCUGGCGGCGUGCCUAAUACAUGCAAGUCGAGCGGUAAGGCCCCUUCGGGGGUACACGAGCGGCGGACGGCUGAGUAACACGUAGGAACGUACCCCAAAGUGAGGCAUAAGCACCAGAAAUGGUGUCUAAUACCGCAUGUGGUCUUCGGAUUAAAGCUUCGGCGCUUUGGGAACGGCCUGCGCAUGAUUAGCUUGUUGGUGAGGUAAUGGCUCACCAAGGCGACGAUCAUUAGCUGGUCUGAGAGGAUGAUCAGCCAGACUGGGACUGAGAACGGCCCAGACUCCUACGGGAGGCAGCAGUAGGGAAUUUUCCACAAUGGGCGAAAGCCUGAUGGAGCAACGCCGCGUGCAGGAUGAAGGCCCUCGGGUCGUAAACUGCUUUUACGAGUGAAGAUUAUGACGGUAGCUCGUGAAUAAGGAUCGGCUAACUCCGUGCCAGCAGCCGCGGUAA